rnacentral:lncRNA from 1 species
CUCCCAAAGUGUUGGGAUUACAGGCAUGAGCCACCGUGCCCGGCCUAGCAAGGGCUUUCUAUGAUUCCGAGUAUAUAGAAAUCAAAAGCAUUUUAGAUUCCCAUAAGGUUGAUCAAAAGUAUAGGAUGUCUUCUUUAAAAUAUAUGAAUUUACUUUGAAUAAGAAUGCUCAUUGUAGUACAUUAUGGAUAAAUGCACAUUCAACUUUUGUUUACCUGGUUCUUUAAUCCAGUCAUAAGGAAAAAAAGACAGUUUGUCAGCAGUGUUUAAAUGUAUGUGUCUUGGAUCAAUUUAAAUGCUAUAGAUACUCCAGUUUUACAGUCAUAUUCUAGAGCAAAGUAAACACUUGGAAGAUGGCUAUGGCAUGGGAUAAUUUCCUUUUUGUAAAAACAGUUUUUACAUCAAACGGUUUUACAUCAAACUGUCUCUGUUUGUCUCAUCAGAGAAGUAUCAAAAGAGAUAGAAAUUAUUUUAAAUAAUGAACUAACUGGAAAUUCUGAUGUUGAAAGGCACAAUCACUGAAAUGAAAAAUUCACUAAACAGGCUUAACAGCAGAAUCAAACUGGCAGAAGUAAUCAGCAAACUUGAAUAUCGACUUCAUAAAGUUUAUAUAAACUUGAUCAAGACUAGGCAAUCUGAAACACAGAGAUCAAAAGAAGAGUGAAGAAAAAUGAGCAGAGCCUCAAAGAACUGCACCAACAUGCACAUAAUGGUAGUGCCAGAAAGAGAGGAGAGAAAAGAGCAGAAAAAAUAUCCAAAGAAAUAAUGACCAAAAAUUCCCCAAAUUUGAUAAAAAACAUCAAUCUAUACACCCAAGAUCAAGGAACUCCAAGUAGGAUGAGCACAAAGUGAUCCAUACCUAGAAACAGCAAAGGAAAAAUGCUGAAAAACAAGAGAGAAAAUAUUGAACGCAGCAAGAGUAGAACAACUCAUCAUGUAUAAAGAAAUCCCCAAUAAGAUUAACAGCUGACUAAUCUUCAGAAUUGAUUAGAGGAAGACAGAAAGUAGUGGUAUUAAAUAUUCAAAGUACUGAAAGAGAACUGUCAAACAACAUCUUAUAUUCAACAAAACUUUCAGAAAUGAACAUGAAACAAAAUAUUCCUAGAAACAAGAACAUAAUUUUUGUGAGCAGGACCCACCUUGCGAGAAAUACUAAAGGAAGUCAUUCACACUGAAAGAGAACACAAGGAUUUGUGAGAAAGAUGAGAAGUUGAAAUCAGGUUUAUGAUGAAUUUGAAAUGCCUAUAAAACAAGAGAAAAUGCAGCUGUCAGAUCCCUGUGGAGGAUGUGCACAUUGCCAUCCCUGCUUGCUGUCCCUCUAGCCAGAGGGACAUGAUGGCUGCCCUUUGUGGAAGAAGAACUUGCCCAUUUUAUGCAUGGCACGGCUCACUGCCGCAACAAACAUCGGCACUGGUUUAAAAAUGGCUGCGUGCAGGCUGGCCAGUGACUCUCUUUUGAGAUGUUCAGGCAUGAAAGUCUCUGCCCAACACAGUGACGAAGGCAGAGGGAAUUCCCUAAAGCAGUCAAAUCAUUCCCUGUCUUCAGAAUUUUCUCUGAGGGAUAUAGAGGGGAACGACUCACCAGAAGAGGGAGAAUGUCCAUGGAUGGAGAGAAGCAGUGGCUACAGGAAACCCUGAGUGAAACGCAGAGAGAAAUUGCUUUCUAGCACUGCGUUGCAUCCUUUCAUUUCUGCAUGUAUUUAAAUCAUAAGAAUACACAAACACAUCAUCUAAAGGAUCUCAAUGACUUUCAGUAAGAAGGCCUUCAUACAAUUCCCAUACGAAUUCCAUUUUUUAUGGCAAGGUUACUCCGUAUGACUCACCCUAAUUGUUCUGGAACAAGAACUGACAGAAAAGAAUUGGACUGUCAUUCCUGAUGCAAAAGGGUUUACAAACAUCCUUCUAAAAGAAGACUUCCACCUGAGAAGGUUGAUGGAGGACCUCUUGUCUACGUACCUGUUAGACUGGGGCACGGUCACCUUAUUGUGGGAGUUAUAGGUAAGAAAAAUUAGAGAGCAGCUUAUUUUGGGGGCCAGGAUAAUAACAAGUUAUUUUUAAAAGGUCUUGGAAACUUGCAGAUGCAAAGGGAAAAAAACAAAAAACAAAAAACAAUCCUAAUGGUAAAAACAAGUAAGUCUGACUGCGUCAUUUUGUAGUAAGACAAUGAGGAAAUGGGAACUCGUCAGAGGGUAACUGGGUGGUGCCUGUAAAAGUGAAGAUGUGCUUCUCCCUCAGCAGGCAUUUGCUGGGAAACCCUUGCAGACGUUACAAGCACAGUUGUAGAAAAUAUCUAUUAGAGCACUGUUUGUAACUGAAAAAUGUUUCAUUCAUACUUUGAAUGUAAAGAAUAAAAGUGAAUGAAAAAAUGGAAGCAUUGCACCGUGCUUUUGAUUUACAUUUCCCUGAUCAUUUAGUACAACCACCAUGGAAAACAGUGU